GUUAGUUUAUUGAGUCUGUAACGGUGAGGUGCAACAUAAGUUUAGUUCCUCAUACGAGCGCUUUCAUUUACACCUAACCGUGAAAACGCAUUAUACCUGUAGUGAGAUCACUAGCCAGAGCUCUCAUCUCCGCGCCAAAAGAGUCUUAAACGUGUACUGAGAACUGGAUUGUUCCAAAUGCAGUGACUGAAGGAGAAGCUUACAAGACAGAGACUCCGCCCUCUUAUAUUUCACACCAAUCAUCCGGUCCAGAUCCUGCAGGCCAUCAAUCUCCUGGCUGAAGGCCACCCAUGUGCUCUCUGACUGCUGGCAUGACUGAACCACCGUCCAAUCAGAUGCCCAGGAUGCAGGUUCAUUUGCUUCAGCAGAACUGGUGUGUUGUUCUAGGAGAAGAUAAAGA
rnacentral:lncRNA from 1 species